rnacentral:lncRNA from 1 species
UGAGGUCACCAAAUUAAAGAAUGUUCUGUCUCUCAAAAGAAGAGGUACACAUGUUCUCAGCAAAUCAAAAUGUUCUGAUGAAAGUACUUCCCAGGAAAAAUGGCAGGAAAAUGUUGAAACUGUGUUUCAUAUUUGGUUCAGGUUCUGCCAAGAUAGAUUCUUUUUCACAAGGCUGGGGAGGUAAGCAUGUUGGAGCUAGAAAAGAGAGAACCCUGCUGGAACUGUACUGAAAAACCUGCCGGGUAAUGACACUGUUUCCUUUUUAUUUUUGUUUGAGCUGCAAUAAAGCUGGUACUUCAGAACACAAAAGCUAGAUUCCUGCUGUGACUUCUCAAAAACUGCUUCUCAAAAUACUCAUGCAACAGCUGACACAUAAAAAAUGUACAUGAAUGUCUGGAUGGCUUCCCAGACCUGUCUGGAAGUACACACCCAGUUUUCAGGUGAUGGAGAUGUCUUCAAAAUGUUGGACUUCUAGCAAGAGUUCUCUGCCUAAAACUGUAUGUGAGAUUCUGAAAGAGGUAUAUUAAAGUCUCAGCAUGAAAGCAUAAAGAUGAGGAAACUGAGGCAUGGAGCAGUCCACGUGAAUGAGUCUCGUAGUAAGUGAUGGAACUAGGAUGCAACUCUCUGGUGUGAGUGCCCCACUCUGAGAGGCUUGGUCAGGAUUUGUGUAGAAAGUGCACAGCAGAACUGAGCCUAUGCAUUCAAAGUCCUGAGUACCCCUACAAAGGAAGAGGACACAAAUGAAAAAUAUUCCCUCAUACCAAGGAUUGUCCUGAAAUCCAAGACCAUAUUUUAUGAGAAGACAUACAUCAGAGAGAGAGAGAUUACAGUAUGCAAUCUCUCAGCUGCCAACAGAACACAGAUGGGCUUGGGAACAGAGAAUGAUCCAGAUCUGCAGGACUGGAGCAAUCCGUGGGAAGUUUGGACAGAAGAUCUGAUGCAUAAGACAGUAAAGGACUAUUGAAUGUUCCAUGAUAGAUAUGCUUGUUCUUUUGCCUGCAUGCCCUUGAAUAAAGACAUUUUGAUCUCCAGGACCAACCUGAGAAACAUAUAAUUUAAUCUAGUUUUGAAAGAAGAGCCCUGCUACACAAAUACUGGCUCACAAUGUUAAGAGAUAUCAACUGAAAUAUCAAAGGGCUUUCAUAUUUCAUUAAAUUGACUAUCCUAUGUGUUUGAUAUUUCCAUUUAAUUGAAUAUUUCUUAACUCAAUGAAAAAUGUAUGAGCCUGCUGUGAUAAAUUCGGUGUCGCAUAUGGGAAUUUCAAGUGUCUUUGAUUGAAUCUUAUUUCUUGAUAUCUCACCUUUCAGAAGAGAGAUACAAAAAGACUGUUAGCCUGCUUGCUUCUGUUUUUUCUGCCCCAUCUCCACCCUUAUUCCCAAACUGUGGUUCACACAUUUAUUUCUAUUUUUAAAAAUUUUCUCUUGCUGCUGCCAUUCUCUUAUUACUCAUUUUUUAAAUACCCAGUCCACUUUCCUUACUUUUCUUUAAUGUCUGCCUCAGAGCUCAGCUUUUUUAGUUAAUUGAUGACAUCACUAGCCUUUAGUUCUGAGAGACUGAAUAUACAGUCACACCAUACAUUGAAACAGAAUUCUAAGCCACAAAUUGCAAUAACCAGAGCAAGACCACAGCCUCCAUGGCAAUUAGCCCAAAAUGGUCAGGACCUGAUCAAUAACGGACAACUUUCAUAAUUUUUAGCCCCCUUCCCCCACUUCCAGCUUGGGACCAACUGGAGAAAGACAAAUAUGCUGCCUAACCACCCGCAUAGGAUGCUUUUCUUUCAAUUAUCGGGCUUCCGACUUCCCCGGACCAAUAGCCUCCAAUCAGGCAGACCUGAAGCCUUCCCUUUUUCCCAUUCUAAAGCUUUCCUACUCCUCUGCCUGCCUUUGAGUCUCCGACAAACACAAAUAAUGGCGGUUAACUUCUUUACUAUGCUAGCUCUGAAUAAAUAUCCUUAUUAAUAUACUUUUCUUGUUCGCAUCUGGGUGCACUUCAUUUGUUUCCAUAGUUCUUUCAUUCCAUGAACUUUCCAAUUAAAAACUGUUUUGAAUAAAUGCCACGGUCUUGGCUUUUCUGCAAUCAUCAACUCUCUCUAGCUUCUGCCUUCAAUUCCACACCUUAUCCAGAUGCAAACUAGCUUUUAGGAAGCUUUAGGAGGUAUUUUUUUUUCACUACGUAUAUUUUAUUUGACUGAAAAAUGAUAAAAUAUCAUUUAAAUUGAAUGUGCACCAACUGUGGCUCCUAAGCUGAAUAAUAACAUAAAUUUGUAUCCAUAAGCAUAAUAGGACAUUUAAUAAUCCUUGUUACAUCUAUUGAUUAACAUACUCUGUAAAGUCAUUUGGUCUUGUGCCAAAUAGAAACUAUAAAAAUAUAAUGAGCUUUUUGUCAAAAACUGUUAUGUAAGGCCUUGGAAGCUUCUAGUAGUUCAGUGCUUUCUAUUCCAUUCACGUUUUUGUUGAAAUAAAAUGGAAAAGAAAAUAACCUUGUAUAUGCAUAUUAGAACUAACAGGUAAGGGUUUCCAUGGAUACUUCUUUUAUGCAGCCAAAGAGUUCGUGUGCGGAAAAAGGCAUUCAUUUCUAGUUCUAAGAGAUUCUGUUCUGAUAAGGAACUCCUGCCAAUCAUUUUAUGUCUUGACUUUCUAACAGAAUAAAAUAAUAUAUAUCAUG